UACCUACGGGGCGCAGCAGUGGGGAAUAUUGCACAAUGGGGGGAACCCUGAUGCAGCGACGCCGCGUGAGUGAAGAAGUAUUUCGGUAUGUAAAGCUCUAUCAGCAGGGAAGAAGAUGACGGUACCUGACUAAGAAGCCCCGGCUAACUACGUGCCAGCAGCCGCGGUAAUACGUAGGGGGCAAGCGUUAUCCGGAUUUACUGGGUGUAAAGGGAGCGUAGACGGCUGUACAAGUCUGAAGUGAAAGCCCGUGGCUCAACCGCGGAACUGCUUUGGAAACUGUAAAGCUGGAGUACUGGAGAGGC
rnacentral:rRNA from 1 species